GACGAACGCUGGCGGCGCGCUUAACACAUGCAAGUCGAACGGAAAGGCCUGCUUUCCCUUGUGGAUUGCGGGUACUCGAGUGGCGAACGGGUGAGUAACACGUGAGUGAUCUGCCCCCAACUUGGGUAUAAGCCUGGGAAACUGGGUCUAAUUCCCGAUAGGACUGCAGGGUGGUGCCUGUGGUGGAAAACGAUUUUCUAGUGGUUGGGGAUGAACUCGCGGCCUAUCAGCUUGUUGGUGGGGUAAUGGCCUACCAAGGCGGCGACGGGUAGCCGGCCUGAGAGGGUGGACGGCCACAUUGGGACUGAGAUACGGCCCAGACUCCUACGGGAGGCAGCAGUGGGGAAUAUUGCACAAUGGGCGGAAGCCUGAUGCAGCGACGCCGCGUGGGGGAUGACGGCCUUCGGGUUGUAAACUCCUUUCGACCGCGAGGAAGCCACCUGGUUGGAAGGGUGGUGACGGUAGUGGUAGAAGAAGCACCGGCUAACUACGUG
rnacentral:rRNA from 1 species